rnacentral:rRNA from 1 species
AGUGAACGCUGGCGGUAGGCCUAACACACGCAAGUCGAACGGCAGCACAGUAAGAGCUUGCUCUUACGGGUGGCGAGUGGCGGACGGGUGAGGAAUACAUCGGAAUCUACUUUUUCGUGGGGGAUAACGUAGGGAAACUUACGCUAAUACCGCAUACGACCUACGGGUGAAAGCAGGGGAUCUUCGGACCUUGCGCGAUUGAAUGAGCCGAUGUCGGAUUAGCUAGUUGGCGGGGUAAAGGCCCACCAAGGCGACGAUCCGUAGCUGGUCUGAGAGGAUGAUCAGCCACACUGGAACUGAGACACGGUCCAGACUCCUACGGGAGGCAGCAGUGGGGAAUAUUGGACAAUGGGCGCAAGCCUGAUCCAGCCAUACCGCGUGGGUGAAGAAGGCCUUCGGGUUGUAAAGCCCUUUUGUUGGGAAAGAAAAGCAGCAGGUUAAUACCCCGCUGUUCCGACGGUACCCAAAGAAUAAGCACCGGCUAACUUCGUG